rnacentral:rRNA from 1 species
GCCCCUUAUGUUCUGGGCUACACACGUGCUACAAUGGCCGGUACAGACGGACGCAAAGCCGCGAGGUGGAGCAAAUCCUAAAAAGCCGGUCUCAGUUCGGAUUGCAGGCUGCAAUUCGCCUGCAUGAAGUCGGAAUCGCUAGUAAUCGCAGGUCAGCAUACUGCGGUGAAUACGUUCCCGGGCCUU